rnacentral:rRNA from 1 species
GGUUAAGCGACUAAGCGUACACGGUGGAUGCCCUGGCAGUCAGAGGCGAUGAAGGGCGUGCUAAUCUGCGAUAAGCGCCGGUAAGGUGAUAUGAACCGUUAUAACCGGCGAUACCCGAAUGGGGAAACCCAGUGUGAUUCGUCACACUAUCAUUAACUGAAUCCAUAGGUUAAUGAGGCGAACCGGGGGAACUGAAACAUCUAAGUACCCCGAGGAAAAGAAAUCAACCGAGAUUCCCCAGUAGCGGCGAGCGAACGGGGAGGAGCCCAGAGCCUGAAUCAGCAUGUGUGUUAGUGGAAGCGUCUGGAAAGGCGCGCGAUACAGGGUGACAGCCCCGUACACAAAAGCGCAUGUGCUGUGAGCUCGAUGAGUAGGGCGGGACACGUGGUAUCCUGUCUGAAUAUGGGGGGACCAUCCUCCAAGGCUAAAUACUCCUGACUGACCGAUAGUGAACCAGUACCGUGAGGGAAAGGCGAAAAGAACCCCGGCGAGGGGAGUGAAAAAGAACCUGAAACCGUGUACGUACAAGCAGUGGGAGCACAGGUUUACCUGUGUGACUGCGUACCUUUUGUAUAAUGGGUCAGCGACUUAUAUUCUGUAGCAAGGUUAACCGAAUAGGGGAGCCGGAGGGAAACCGAGUCUUAAUUGGGCGUUAAGUUGCAGGGUAUAGACCCGAAACCCGGUGAUCUAGCCAUGGGCAGGUUGAAGGUUGGGUAACACUAACUGGAGGACCGAACCGACUAAUGUUGAAAAAUUAGCGGAUGACCUGUGGCUGGGGGUGAAAGGCCAAUCAAACCGGGAGAUAGCUGGUUCUCCCCGAAAGCUAUUUAGGUAGCGCCUCGUGAAUUCAUCUCCGGGGGUAGAGCACUGUUUCGGCUAGGGGGCCAUCCCGGCUUACCAACCCGAUGCAAACUGCGAAUACCGGAGAAUGUUAUCACGGGAGACACACGGCGGGUGCUAACGUCCGUCGUGAAGAGGGAAACAACCCAGACCGCCAGCUAAGGUCCCAAAGUCAUGGUUAAGUGGGAAACGAUGUGGGAAGGCCCAGACAGCCAGGAUGUUGGCUUAGAAGCAGCCAUCAUUUAAAGAAAGCGUAAUAGCUCACUGGUCGAGUCGGCCUGCGCGGAAGAUGUAACGGGGCUAAACCAUGCACCGAAGCUGCGGCAGCGAACGUAUCACCCAAGACAACUUUACGGAGUUGACGAUUGACGGAGCGAAGCGACGUCAAAGCGUUCAUUAAAGUCGAGUUGGCUUAGGGAUACGUUCGUUGGGUAGGGGAGCGUUCUGUAAGCCUGUGAAGGUGUGUCGUGAGGCAUGCUGGAGGUAUCAGAAGUGCGAAUGCUGACAUAAGUAACGAUAAAGCGGGUGAAAAGCCCGCUCGCCGGAAGACCAAGGGUUCCUGUCCAACGUUAAUCGGGGCAGGGUGAGUCGACCCCUAAGGCGAGGCCGAAAGGCGUAGUCGAUGGGAAACGGGUUAAUAUUCCCGUACUUGGUGUUACUGCGAAGGGGGGACGGAGAAGGCUAUGUUGGCCGGGCGACGGUUGUCCCGGUUUAAGCGUGUAGGUGUGUGUUCCAGGUAAAUCCGGUUCACUUUAACACUGAGGCGUGACGACGAGGCACUACGGUGCUGAAGCAACAAAUGCCCUGCUUCCAGGAAAAGCCUCUAAGCAUCAGGUAACACGAAAUCGUACCCCAAACCGACACAGGUGGUCAGGUAGAGAAUACCAAGGCGCUUGAGAGAACUCGGGUGAAGGAACUAGGCAAAAUGGUGCCGUAACUUCGGGAGAAGGCACGCUGACACGUAGGUGAAGUGAUUUACUCAUGGAGCUGAAGUCAGUCGAAGAUACCAGCUGGCUGCAACUGUUUAUUAAAAACACAGCACUGUGCAAACACGAAAGUGGACGUAUACGGUGUGACGCCUGCCCGGUGCCGGAAGGUUAAUUGAUGGGGUCAGCGUAAGCGAAGCUCCUGAUCGAAGCCCCGGUAAACGGCGGCCGUAACUAUAACGGUCCUAAGGUAGCGAAAUUCCUUGUCGGGUAAGUUCCGACCUGCACGAAUGGCGUAAUGAUGGCCAGGCUGUCUCCACCCGAGACUCAGUGAAAUUGAACUCGCUGUGAAGAUGCAGUGUACCCGCGGCAAGACGGAAAGACCCCGUGAACCUUUACUAUAGCUUGACACUGAACAUUGAGCCUUGAUGUGUAGGAUAGGUGGGAGGCUUUGAAGUGUGGACGCCAGUCUGCAUGGAGCCGACCUUGAAAUACCACCCUUUAAUGUUUGAUGUUCUAACGUGGACCCGUAAUCCGGGUUGCGGACAGUGUCUGGUGGGUAGUUUGACUGGGGCGGUCUCCUCCUAAAGAGUAACGGAGGAGCACGAAGGUUGGCUAAUCCUGGUCGGACAUCAGGAGGUUAGUGCAAUGGCAUAAGCCAGCUUGACUGCGAGCGUGACGGCGCGAGCAGGUGCGAAAGCAGGUCAUAGUGAUCCGGUGGUUCUGAAUGGAAGGGCCAUCGCUCAACGGAUAAAAGGUACUCCGGGGAUAACAGGCUGAUACCGCCCAAGAGUUCAUAUCGACGGCGGUGUUUGGCACCUCGAUGUCGGCUCAUCACAUCCUGGGGCUGAAGUAGGUCCCAAGGGUAUGGCUGUUCGCCAUUUAAAGUGGUACGCGAGCUGGGUUUAGAACGUCGUGAGACAGUUCGGUCCCUAUCUGCCGUGGGCGCUGGAGAACUGAGGGGGGCUGCUCCUAGUACGAGAGGACCGGAGUGGACGCAUCACUGGUGUUCGGGUUGUCAUGCCAAUGGCACUGCCCGGUAGCUAAAUGCGGAAGAGAUAAGUGCUGAAAGCAUCUAAGCACGAAACUUGCCCCGAGAUGAGUUCUCCCUGAGACUUAGAGUCUCCUGAAGGAACGUUGAAGACGACGACGUUGAUAGGCCGGGUGUGUAAGCGCAGCGAUGCGUUGAGCUAACCGGUACUAAUGAACCGUGAGGCUUAACCUU